rnacentral:rRNA from 1 species
GAUGAACGCUGGCGGCGUGCCUAAUACAUGCCAGUCGAACGCUGAAGGAAGGAGCUUGCUCUUUCCGGAUGAGUUGCGAACGGGUGAGUAACGCGUAGGUAACCUGCCUGGUAGCGGGGGAUAACUAUUGGAAACGAUAGCUAAUACCGCAUAACAGUAGAUGUUGCAUUAUAUCUACUUAAAAGGUGCAAUUGCACCACUACCAGAUGGACCUGCGUUGUAUUAGCUAGUUGGUGAGGUAACGGCUCACCAAGGCGACGAUACAUAGCCGACCUGAGAGGGUGAUCGGCCACACUGGGACUGAGACACGGCCCAGACUCCUACGGGAGGCAGCAGUAGGGAAUCUUCGGCAAUGGACGGAAGUCUGACCGAGCAACGCCGCGUGAGUGAAGAAGGGUUUCGGAUCGUAAAGCUCUGUUGUAAGAGAAGAACGAGUGUGAGAGUGGAAAGUUCACACUGUGACGGUAGCUUACCAGAAAGGGACGGCUAACUACGUG